rnacentral:rRNA from 1 species
GACGAACGCUGGCGGCGUGCUUAACACAUGCAAGUCGAACGGAAAGGCCCUGCUUUUGUGGGGUGCUCGAGUGGCGAACGGGUGAGUAACACGUGAGUAACCUGCCCUUGACUUUGGGAUAACUUCAGGAAACUGGGGCUACUACCGGAUAGGAGCUCCUGCUGCAUGGUGGGGGUUGGAAAGUUUCGGCGGGUGGGGAUGGACUCGCGGCUUAUCAGCUUGUUGGUGGGGUAGUGGCUUACCAAGGCUUUGGCGGGUAGCCGGCCUGAGAGGGUGACCGGCGACAUGGGGACUGAGAUAGGGCGCAGACUCCUACGGGAGGCAGCAGUGGGGAAUAUUGCACAAUGGGCGGAAGCCUGAUGCAGCAACGCCGCGGGCGGGAUGACGGCCUUCGGGUUGUAAAACGCUGUCGCCUGAGACGAAGCGUGAGUGACGGUAAUGGGUAAAGAAGCACCGGCUAACUACGUG